UGUUCUUUUCAUUUUCACAGA
rnacentral:piRNA from 1 species